CGGCUGUAGCUAUAUUCAUUAUGGCUGAGAAGUUAACUGGCCGGUUGUUAUGAGGUUUCUUUGAGAUCUCCAUUGACAUAUCUGCUUACCGAGCUUCUCAUAUUA